UACGUAGGUGGCAAGCGUUGUCCGGAUUUAUUGGGUUUAAAGGGUGCGUAGGCGGUCUAUUAAGUCAGUGGUGAAAUACUCCAGCUUAACUGGAGGGGUGCCAUUGAUACUGAUGGACUUGAGUCAAGUCGAGGUAGGCGGAAUUGACGGUGUAGCGGUGAAAUGCUUAGAUAUCGUCAAGAACACCAAUAGUGAAGACAGCUUACUGGGCUUAAACUGACACUGAGGCACGAAAGUGUGGGGAUCAAACAGG
rnacentral:rRNA from 1 species